UUCCGGUUGAUCCCGCCGGACCUGACUGCUAUCGGAUUGAUACUAAGCCAUGCGAGUCAUUGUAGCAAUACAAGGCAGACGGCUCAGUAACGCGUAGUCAACCUAACCUAUGGACGGGAAUAACCUCGGGAAACUGAGAAUAAUGCCCGAUAGAACACUAUGCCUGGAAUGGUUUGUGUUCCAAAUGAUUUAUCGCCGUAGGAUGGGACUGCGGCCUAUCAGUUUGUUGGUGAGGUAAUGGCCCACCAAGACUAUUACAGGUACGGGCUCUGAGAGGAGUAGCCCGGAGAUGGGUACUGAGACACGGACCCAGGCCCUAUGGGGCGCAGCAGGCGAGAAAACUUUGCAAUGUGCGAAAGCACGACAAGGUUAAUCCGAGUGGUUUCUGCUAAAGGAACCUUUUGUCGGUCCUAGAAACACCGAUGAAUAAGGGGUGGGCAAGUUCUGGUGUCAGCCGCCGCGGUAAAACCAGCACCUCAAGUGGUCAGGAUGAUUAUUGGGCCUAAAGCAUCCGUAGCCUGCUUUGUAAGUUUUCGGUUAAAUCUAUACGCUUAACGUAUAGGCUGCCGGGAAUACUGCAAAGCUAGGGAGUGGGAGAGGUAGACGGUACUCGGUAGGAAGGGGUAAAAUCCUUUGAUCUAUUGAUGACCACCUGUGGCGAAGGCGGUCUACCAGAACACGUCCGACGGUGAGGGAUGAAAGCUGGGGGAGCAAACCGGAUUAGAUACCCGGGUAGUCCCAGCUGUAAACCAUGCAAACUCAGUGAUGCAUUGGCUUGUGGCCAAUGCAGUGCUGCAGGGAAGCCGUUAAGUUUGCCGCCUGGGAAGUACGUACGCAAGUAUGAAACUUAAAGGAAUUGGCGGGGGAGCACCACAAGGGGUGAGGCCUGCGGUUCAAUUGGAGUCAACGCCGGG
rnacentral:rRNA from 1 species